UUCCUUCCCGUGUAUCGGUAUGCAGCCAGGUAUUUUCAAGGGUUCUUGUAGUUCUCUAUACUCGCAAGGAACCAUCUCAUCUAGCUUUGGCAACCAAAAAAACAAAGACAAAGCCAUUGCUGUAGAAGGAAAGAAAAUGUAGGGAGAGAUGUUGAAUUCUCGAGCAACAUCGAACGCAUCGGUUCCAAAGAGAUCAACCACCAGGGCCGCUAGUCGACUACUUUCAACAAGAGACUUCAAAACUUGGCAAAGAGAAGGGAGAGAGCGUGCCACCGUAAGGGAAAUUAUCGUUUCUAUCUUUGUAUCUCCAGGGAGAUCACUCAUGUCAACCGGAGAAAGAAAUGUGGAGCUUAUGGUGGUAGGAAGCGAUUCAAGAACUGAUUUUUGGGCCUUAGAAGGAGGAC
rnacentral:misc_RNA from 1 species